AUACGUAGGGUGCGAGCGUUGUCCGGAAUUACUGGGCGUAAAGAGCUCGUAGGUGGUUUGUCGCGUCGUCUGUGAAAUUCCGGGGCUUAACUCCGGGCGUGCAGGCGAUACGGGCAUAACUUGAGUACUGUAGGGGAGACUGGAAUUCCUGGUGUAGCGGGGAAAUGCGCAGAUAUCAGGAGGAACACCGGUGGCGAAGGCGGGUCUCUGGGCAGUAACUGACGCUGAGGAGCGAAAGCAUGGGUAGCGAACAGGAUUAGAUACCCUGGUAGUCCAUGCCGUAAACGGUGGGCGCUAGGUGUAGGGGUCUUCCACGACUUCUGUGCCGUAGCUAACGCAUUAAGCGCCCCGCCUGGGGAGUACGGCCGCAAGGCUAAAACUUAAAGGAAUUGACGGGG
rnacentral:rRNA from 1 species